UACGAAGGGGGCUAGCGUUGUUCGGAUUUACUGGGCGUAAAGCGCACGUAGGCGGACUCUUAAGUCGGUGGUGAAAUCCUGGAGCUCAACUCCAGAACUGCCUUCGAUACUGAGAGUCUCGAGUCCGGGAGAGGUGAGUGGAACUGCGAGUGUAGAGGUGAAAUUCGUAGAUAUUCGCAAGAACACCAGUGGCGAAGGCGGCUCACUGGGACGGUACCGACGCUGAGACGCGAAAGCGUGGGGAGCGAACAGG
rnacentral:rRNA from 1 species